AUGAAAGGCGCGAACUGCGGCAAUGGACUCCAAGAAGCCGUCUGCAAGCACGUGGAAGGCUUGGUCCCUUUCCCUCCGAUAACACCGGCUCAGGGGCUGGUGCCAACUUGGGCCAGCCAUUCUGAACCAAGCUCCAGCUUUCCACCUCCCGGCCCCAGGUCUCUCGCGGUCUUAGCUGGGCUUGGCACCGCUUUCCUGCCGGGUCUACACUCUCUGCCCACGAGGCGGCAGCUUCCGGCGGGCGGCGGAGGCACACCUCGGUUUCCGGAGAGCGAAGCUUGCGCCGCUUUGGUGCAAGCUUCAGAUCCUCUGGAAGAAAAAAAUGCCUCUGCACCUCUCGCUCCCGGGGAGUACGGCGUCUUCCGUGGAGUCUCCUACUGUAGGUACUCAUCAUCAAAAUUGAACUUUCAUAAGUACUCCUUCACAACUUUAAGUAAAAGAAAGAAGUAUUCCACAGAUGAUGAAAUUGUCACAGUUACUAUUGGUUUUUUUAACCACUUAACCUAUUUUCUGGCUGCUGGUGCUGUUACUUUGGGAAUUGGUUUCUUUGCUUUGGCAUCAGCUUUGUGGUUCCUGAUUUGCAAACGAAGAGAAAUAUUUCAAGAUACCAAACUUAAAGCAACUGAUGAGAGAUGCAAGCAAAGACCAUCAAAGGCGAAGAUUAAAUCUCAUUCUCAGUGUGUUUUUAUUUCUCGAAAUUUUCAUACUGGAAGUGUCCAGUUACAGGAGGAGCAAAGAAGAAAGGAAACAGCACGUAUAAAAGCAAUUAAAGAUCACUCUAAAGAUGAAUUCUGCCUUGCAACAAAAAAGGUCAUUUGUGAUCCCUCAGAGACUAGCUCGGCAACAAAUCCCAGCAGUGUUACCUUAAGCUUAUCAACAUUGCCAUCUGAUUCUUAUUACAGCCAAAGUAUAGAAGUAGCUGAUGACUGGUUUUCUGAUGAUCCUCUAGCAAAAAAGAGUCCUCCAGUGCCUUUUCUCGGGGAGCCUCUAAUGGAAAAAGUAUUUUCAUACUUAUCAACCAUUCCACUAGAAGAAUGUACUGGAAAUGUACUAAAUAUGACACUUUAUGAUGAUCAGAAAGAUGGCAGCAUUAAGGAAAUAUUUACACGAAGAAAUACAGAGGUUGAAAUACAAAACCUUCAACAUAAUAUUGAAUGACUUUUUUCUUUUGAAACUUUGUGUACUCUGAAAUCAUGUAAAGUUAAAACUGAAUUACCAACUUCCGAGUCUCUUAACAUGCCCAUACUAAUAUUGCUUUUCUUGUUCUUUAUGAUAGAGUGGUUCUACUUACCUUGCCGAUUAUUUCUAGAAAUGAAAUUAUAAGAACUAGAGCAAUAUCAAAGGACAUAGUAAAUAAUACAAAUGUAUUUCAACACAUAGAAGAAAUAAUUUAAGAAAUCUUCAGCACAAAUACAUUUUUAGUAAAACAUUCACAGCAUUUCUUUAUACUUUAGAUAUUUUUAGUUUUAUUUCAAUGUGGGUAAGGCUGGGUAGAAUACUUCCAUCACCGCUGCUGAAUUUUAAAUAAAUCACCAUUUAAAUCUUUAUCUAUCUAUCUAUCUAUCUAUCUAUCUAUCUAUCUAUCUAUCUAUCUAUCUAUU